UACGUAGGGGGCUAGCGUUGUCCGGAUUUAUUGGGCGUAAAGAGCGUGUAGGCGGCCAGGUAGGUCUGCUGUGAAAACUCGAGGCUCAACCUCGAGAUGUCGGCGGAAACCAUCUGGCUAGAGUCCGGAAGAGGAAAGUGGAAUUCCUGGUGUAGCGGUGAAAUGCGCAGAUAUCAGGAAGAACACCCGUGGCGAAGGCGGCUUUCUGGGCAUUAACUGACGCUGAGGAGCGAAAGCAUGGGGAGCGAACAGG
rnacentral:rRNA from 1 species